rnacentral:rRNA from 1 species
GAUGAACGCUGGCGGCAUGCCUAAUACAUGCAAGUCGAGCGAACACACGCGUUCCUUUCUCCUCUGACGUUGUACGCGGACGUAUUUCUUCCACGUGUAUCCCCUACCUGUAGGACUGGGAUCACUUCGUGUACCCAUACCUCAUACCGGCUAAUAUAUUGAACCGCAUGGUUCCCUACUAUAUUUCGGUUUUGCUUUUUCUUAUAGCUGGUUCCGCGCCGAAUUAGUUAGUUGGUAAGGUAACGGCUUACCAAGGCAAGGAUGCGUAGCCGACCUGAGAGGGGGAGCGGCCACACUGGAACGGAGACACGGACCAGACUCCUACGGGAGGCAGCAGUAGGGAAUAUUGCACAAUGGGCGAAAGCCUGACGGAGCAACGCCGCGUGAGAGAAGAAGGUCUUCGGAUCGUAAAACGCUUUUAUGAGGAAAGAAAAAAUGUGGAAUAAAAUAUGGAGGUGAUGACGGUACCGAAAGAAAAAGCAACGGCUAACUACGUG